rnacentral:rRNA from 1 species
GACGAACGCUGGCGGCGUGCUUAACACAUGCAAGUCGAACGAAGUGGGAACGGGUGAGUAAUACGUGGGUAACCUCCCUCCUUUUUGGGAUAAGCCUUGGAAACGGGGUCUAAACCGAAUAGAUGUGAUCGCGGCCUAUCAGCUUGUUGGUGGGGUGAUGGCCUCCCAGGUCGGUGACGGGGAGCCGGCCUGAGAGGGGGACAGGCUAAAUUGGGACUGAGAUACGGCCCAGACGCCUACGCGAGGCAGCGGUGGGGGAUAUUGCACAAUGGACGAAAGGCUGACCGAGCAACGCCGCGUGAGUGAAGAAGGUUUUCGGAUCGUAAAACUCUGUUGUUAGAGAAGCGGUAUCUAACCAGAAAGCCCCGGCUAACUACGUGCCAGCCGCCGCGGUAAUAC